rnacentral:piRNA from 1 species
UGAAAACAAAAACCCUCUGAAAGUUUGAUUU